rnacentral:snoRNA from 1 species
GUUGUAUGAUGAGCCUUCUAUUCAGUUCUGCUUCCGAAUGGAGAGCAAUCUCUUGUGGACAACCUCUACCAAAAACUCUCAAUCCUGACCC